GAUGAACGCUGGCGGCGUGCCUAAUACAUGCAAGUCGAGCGAACGGACGAGAAGCUUGCUUCUCUGAUGUUAGCGGCGGACGGGUGAGUAGCACGUGGAUAACCUACCUAUAAGACUGGGAUAACUUCGGGAAACCGGAGCUAAUACCGGAUAAUAUUUUGAACCGCAUGGUUCAACAGUGAAAGACGGUCUUGCUGUCACUUAUAGAUGGAUCCGCGCUGCAUUAGCUAGUUGGUAAGGUAACGGCUUACCAAGGCAACGAUGCAUAGCCGACCUGAGAGGGUGAUCGGCCACACUGGAACUGAGACACGGUCCAGACUACUACGGGAGGCAGCAGUAGGGAAUCUUCCGCAAUGGGCGAAAGCCUGACGGAGCAACGCCGCGUGAGUGAUGAAGGUCUUCGGAUCGUAAAACUCUGUUAUUAGGGAAGAACAUAUGUGUAAGUAAAUGUGCACAUCUUGACGGUACCUAAUCAGAAAGCCACGGCUAACUACGUG
rnacentral:rRNA from 1 species